rnacentral:rRNA from 1 species
CGGGAUUAGUGGCGAACGGGUGAGUAACAUAUCGGAACGUACCCAGUAAUGGGGGAUAACUAGUCGAAAGGCUGGCUAAUACCGCAUACGCCCUGAGGGGGAAAGCGGGGGAUCGAAAGACCUCGUGUUAUUGGAGCGGCCGAUAUCUGAUUAGCUAGUUGGUGGGGUAAAGGCCUACCAAGGCGGCGAUCAGUAGCUGGUCUGAGAGGACGACCAGCCACACUGGAACUGAGACACGGUCCAG